AGGGAGCAUCUGACUCCUCAGUGUUCAGCUACAACGGCUGUGGGUGCGCAGCUGAAGCAGCACGUCUCUCUCCCAGCACACAUGGUCUGCUUUUGCAGCCUGGGCUCAGUGGGGUCAGGGGCGUGCCCAGUUCACGUCGACAGCUGGGGGAUCUGGGACCUCUACCGGUAGCCCCAGCCUUUGUCACCUCUCUUACCUCCCUCUGCCCAGAGCUGAAGACUCCCUACCUUUGGCUGUCAAGACCCAAAGCCUGUGCACAGACGUUUGGAGAGCAUUUUCCCUGACAUCGGAGAUAGUGGCCUCUCUUGCUUCUGCUCAGCUGUGUGGCCCUCCCACAUUCCUGCAGAUGGUAGAACCUGCUUCCCAGCGAGGAUUCCGGGAACGCCAGCAAUUCCCGUGAGGCUUUGCAGCCACCGAGGGUCAGAGCUGCGGCUUCAACCCAGCCUGGCCUGCAGACCUGAGGACCUGCCUGCAGCCCUGCAAGCAAACACCACCUGUUUCUGUGUCUGAUGAGACAGCAGCAAGACUCUCGUUUCUCCCACUGGCGCAUGGAUCCAGAGAUCCUGUCUUGUCUUCCGGCUCAGAAGAUGUAAAUGUGGCCUCACUGUGCAGACCUUGCCAAAUUAAAACCGUGCUGUUGGGAAGAUUCAUCAUUUGGUCUCAAGCAUAAAGAACAGCAAGGGAAUCACUGCUGUCAAAUGGGUGAGAGAAGACAGCAGAGUUGGGACACUGAAAAUGGUUCACGCCUCUCAUCUGGAUGUUGGCACACAGAGACUGUGGAGAAACAAUGAGAGAACCUGUGCCUGGAGCAGAGGACUGGGCCUGAGAAGCUUGUGGGGCCACAGAGCACCUGUGCUACGUUUCAGGAAGUACACUUAAGAUUUGUAUCUGAGGCCUUAAUCCGAAAUACAACAUGAGCUUUCCCGGGCCAGUGGAAGACUCCAUGGCUGGCCAAGGAUGAGAUGGGCAGUCUCUGCUUCCAGGGUCCUGAAGCCGAAGGAUGGGGCAGCCACUCACGGCUGUUACAGACUCAACCUCAGAGGAGCAGCAGAGCUGUGCAGUGGAGGCUGAGCUUGUAGAUCCAGCAUCCUCAGGAUAGGAGCUGGUCCAGCCUGGAGGACUGUCCCUUGCCAUGUUCCCUUAGAGCAGCAGAGGCACCUGUCUGACAAUGAGGUGGAGACACAUGAUGUCCUCUUUGCCAGCCCUGGCUUCAUUUCCUGCUGGCUACGGAUGCUGUUGUGUAUAGAUAUGACUCCGAUCUGUGAUUUUCAUCCUUUCUCACCUAAAAGGCAAGUCUAGGCCUCUCUGACUCAGGCCCAGGCUCUGAUGUCCCAGCCCCACUGCUGUUCCUGAGACUACAGCUCAUCAAGAUUUCAAAAUGGCAUUGAGGACCAUUGGCCCCAAUCCCCAUGGGUCUUCCCUGUGGCUGAGACACAAUACACAACACCUGUAACAUGAAGGAGAUUCAAGUUCCUGCACUCAGAGAGCUCACAGCAGUGACACAGAGACAAUAACUCCAUAUGAGCUGUACAAUGUGAUGAUGGCAUGAAAACAAAAACGGUCAGAAAUGGCUUUUCUGAGGAGACUAGAGUCUAGGUAUCAUCUCUGUGUGCUCUUGCCCAUUAAAGCACAUGAUCGAUACUAUUUUGAAAAAAAAGAAAAGAAAAAAGCAUGAUUUACUGAAAACAAGUUUUGGCUGAAGUUUUUUGUUUUGUUUUUUUGUUUUUUUUUGGCUAGGAGAACAUGCAGUUCAGCAGUUAAUGCUAGAAAGCGAGAUAAGAGAACAAACCAUUAAUUUGAAAUGCCAAGGGAGUCUAUGAGAUCACAGCCAAAGUUUUCAUGCAACAUGAACAUAAUCAUGGUCCCAGGACAAAGGACACCACAGUCCUCAGCCUCCUGGGGGUGUGGAUAGUUAGUAGCCUCAAGAGCUUGUUUGCCAAGAAUCCAGAAUCCAGCAGUCAGACUUGGUCAUGCAUUCUUGCCUGGCCCAGAUAGCCAACAAGAGCUUGCUUCACGCUGCACACACUCUGGAAUAAUGUAGGGCGUUGCUGAUCAGGGAAAGUCCAGCUCUCUCCCCACCAGGACUGCAAUUUCCCAGUGUGGCCUUGCCUUUAGUAUAAAAUGUGACUGCUGCCCUCGGAUGUGCCCCUCAGAGGACAGCUACACUGCUUUUGGGAAUUAGAAGCAUCAAGAGAGAUGCCUGACUCUCCUGGGGCUCCAAUCCUAAGGGUGAAGAGGAGCGCUAAAGAGAGCUGAGCCAUUGUUUGUCACUGAAGCAUGCUGUUGCUUUGUUUGUUAACACAUUGGUGUGUGAUGGUCAAAACUAAUGAUGGUCUGUUCUGAGUUGAACCCACUCAAACCAGUCUCCAGUGGGCCAGUCAAUUCCGUUCAGUUGGCCUGGUGUCAGGGCUGGAAAAAUACCCUCGCUGCUGAGAUUAACAGUCUGUUACCCCCUCUUGGAGAGGGUACCUAGCCCAUGGGUCUUUCAAGCUCCUUCCCUUCUCCUUUGGGCCCAUACUCUACUCUUUUCAGCCUUUUGGAAUGCCAGCCCCAGCAGCAGAAACAAUAACUACCAGCAGAAAAGCACUACCAAGUGUCUGGUACUGGGCCUACUGAUUUUUAUACAUUGUCUCAUUUUAUCCUCAAAAAAUGACCUUCUCAGGGAAAGUAUUAUAUCAAUCACAGUGAUGGCUGUAACACUGCACAUUUUCAACACCACUGGAUUAGUCUUUGAAUGGCUUCAUCAUAUUGCAUAUGAAUUAUGUCUCCAAAUCCGUUGAAGUAUUAUAUUUAAAAGUUUGGGAGCCGCUAACUAGAGAAAUUGUGUAGUCUUUACUUUGCAUACCAGAAAAGAAGAAGGGCUGAAGAUUAAUGGACUUAAUAUCUGACUGUGCAGGUUUGAAAAUCUGCUUGAGGCAGAUGUGUUCCCACGGCCAGGUCACACAGCGGGCAACGGCACAGCUGGGUUCCGGUGCAGAUGUCCCUGGCCUCGUGUUGAUGUUUUUACUGACACUGCCUCCCACAGUCCCCCAUGGUCCUGGCCUAGCCCAUCAUGAGCUACCCAGCACUCCAGAUAUUUUUCCAUUGAGUUUAUUGGUACUUUUAAGGUUUACAGUACAGUCGCAUUCCUCAUUCGGCUCUGUACCUUCAUAUGACAGGUCUUGGUUCUCAUUUUUUCCCCAUUGCCCUGCCCUCCUUUCACCCCCUCCACC